UAUGACCAUAUCAUGCUGAACACACCAGUUCUUUUCCAGUCACCAAAGUUAAGCAACAUUAAGCCUGGUCAGUACUUAGGUAGGUGACUGCUUGGGAAUACCAGUUGCUGUAA